rnacentral:misc_RNA from 1 species
GUUUACUCUCAUUUCAUUUCAUUUUCACUGAACUGAAAGCAGAGUGCACCGAAAUGGGGCUCUGGGAUUACAUUUCUUCAACAGCCAAUUCAACGAAUCAAAAUGUCAUAAAACCUAUCUGCAACUUAGGCUCCACCUCUUUCUCUUAUGCCUCUGAUGCUUUUACCAAGAUCGGCAGCGUCGCCGUUCAAACCAUAAGCCACAACUGGCACGACCAAGAUGCUCGAUUCAACAUAGGCCAAUUUGCCACCAACAUUGCAAAGAACACUGCCGUUUUGGCCUGCAGCGAAGGUCUCAAAACUUUCCCUGGUGGAGGUCCAAUUUUGGAGAUUAUCAGACGAUCUCAGCCUGAAUACAAGACAACGAAGAAUCAUAAAAAGGAAGAGAUAAUGGAAUUAAAAUCUGAAUUAGAAGUUCAGAAAGAAAAGAUCAAGGAAUUGCAAGAUUUGGCAGACAAAAUGGGGAAAGAACUCAGAAGUUUUAAAAGAGAGUUUAAUCAGGCAGAGUUGCGUGCUGAGCUGGAUAAAAUGAAGCUGAAAACUAAGCUGCUGCAGCAGCAGGAAUCAGAACUUCCAUUUCAUGUCUGUCAAGCUUUAGCAGACAAAGUGGGGAAAGAACUUAGCAGUUUUAAAGGUGAGUUUAAUCAGCCGGAGGUGCAUCACCAGCUGGAUGAAAUGAAGCUAAAAACUAAGCUGCUGCAGAAGCAGGAAUCAGAAAUUUCAUUUCAUAUCUGUCAAGCCUUGGCCGACAAAAUGGGAAAAAGCCUCAGCAGCUUUAAAAGAGAGUUUAAUCAACCAGAGGGGCAUCAUGAGCUGGAUACAAAUGAAGCUAAAAACUAGGCUGCUGUAGCUGCAGGAAUCACAUCUUCCAUUUCAUGUCUGUUUGUGCUUUAAGUAGUCUCUAAAAUCUAUCUUUGUGUUAUUACUUUGAUGUAUCAGUGAUGACAUAUUAUUAGUUAUAUGGGACCUCUUGCUCUUAGUUUCAUCUUGGCUAGUAUUACCAACAAGCACUAGACCAAUGCAUCAUUAGCAUUAUGAACUGUUUUUGUGGUGAGGUUAUGUCAGCACUGAACAAUGCUUUGUUUCAGUAUAUGCAUUUUUAUGUUUAUAACUUGUGAUUAAGGAUGAGUUAAGGCUGACCCUGAGCCUGAGCCUGAGCCCUCAUGGCUCAUAGUCAUGUGUAAGGAUUUCCAUAACAUUUUAUCAAUCUAAUACCUAUCAGAAG